UAAAGGAUAGCAUAAGGUAAUGUUUCUUGCUUACAACAAGAUGAUAGUUGAGUAACUUCCUUUAA
rnacentral:tRNA from 1 species